rnacentral:rRNA from 1 species
UACAGAGGGGGCAAGCGUUGUUCGGAAUUACUGGGCGUAAAGGGCGCGUAGGCGGCCAACUAAGUCGGACGUGAAAUCCCAAGGCUCAACCUUGGAACUGCGUCCGAUACUGGAUGGCUUGAAUCCGGGAGAGGGAUGUGGAAUUCCAGGUGUAGCGGUGAAAUGCGUAGAUAUCUGGAGGAACACCGGUGGCGAAGGCGGCAUCCUGGACCAACACUGACACUGAGGAGCGAAAGCCAGGGGAGCGAACGGG